GUUGAGGUCUAUCCCGAUGGGGCUUUUUCUCUGUAGACCUACAUCGUUGGAAACGCCUCAUAGAGUAUAUGUGUGGUUUUCUUUAUUCACAGAACUAUGUGUUAGAUCUGUGGGAAAGAACUACAAGACAUUU
ensembl:snoRNA small nucleolar RNA SNORA18